GGCAACGUGGCCGAGCGGUCUAAGGCGAUUGACUCGAAUACUAUUCACUUGAAAUCAAUUCUCUUCGGAGGCGCAUGUUCAAAUCAUGCCGUUGUCG
rnacentral:tRNA from 1 species